CGUCUAUAUACGUAUAGCAUAUCAAUAAGCGGAGGAAAAGAAACUAACAAGGAUUCCCUUAGUAACGGCGAGUGAAGCGGGAAGAGCUCAAAUAUUGAAAUCUUCAAGGUUCUACCUUGACGAAUUGUAGUUUAAAGAAGUGUUUUCUGUUAGAUGGAGUAGCAAAAGUUCCUUGGAAUGGGACAUCAUAGAGGGUGAGAAUCCCGUAUUUGGUUAUUCUUUCUAGCUUUGUGAUACACUUUCAAAGAGUCGGAUUGUUUGGGAAUGCAGUCCAAAAUGGGUAGGUAAAUUUCAUCUAAAGCUAAAUAUUGGCGAGAGACCGAUAGCGAACAAGUACCGUGAGGGAAAGAUGAAAAGAACUUUGAAAAGAGAGUUAAACAGUACGUGAAAUUGUCAAAAGGGAAGCGUUUGACACCAGUGUUGUUUUUCCGAAAAUCAAUUAAGAGUGGCUUGAUUUUGUGUUGUAUUGACCUUAUCAGCUUUCUUCACUCUUUUUCGAGUCUUUCUUAAUGCACUUUUCGGUUAACAAGUCAACAUCAAUUUCUUUUGUUGUAAAAGGGUAUUUGGAAGGUGGCUUUCUUUUCGGAGAAAGUGUUUAUAGCCUUAUACCUCUACAAUCGGAGAGAUUGAGGUCUGCAGCGUAGAUCCUUCGGGGCUAGAUACACUUGUGCUAAGUUAUAGCUUUUCAUAGACAACUUGUUGACUAUGUUUAGUCAUGUAGCUUACCCGCUUAUGCUAUUUUACCUACGCUUAGGAUGUUGAGUCAUCACACAUCUCU
rnacentral:rRNA from 1 species